GAUGAACGCUGGCGGCGUGCCUAAUACAUGCAAGUCGAGCGAACAGACGAGGAGCUUGCUCCUCUGACGUUAGCGGCGGACGGGUGAGUAACACGUGGAUAACCUACCUAUAAGACUGGGGUAACUUCGGGAAACCGGAGCUAAUACCGGAUAAUAUAUUGAACCGCAUGGUUCAAUAGUGAAAGACGGUUUUGCUGUCACUUAUAGAUGGAUCCGCGCCGCAUUAGCUAGUUGGUAAGGUAACGGCUUACCAAGGCGACGAUGCGUAGCCGACCUGAGAGGGUGAUCGGCCACACUGGAACUGAGACACGGUCCAGACUCCUACGGGAGGCAGCAGUAGGGAAUCUUCCGCAAUGGGCGAAAGCCUGACGGAGCAACGCCGCGUGAGUGAUGAAGGUUUUCGGAUCGUAAAACUCUGUUAUUAGGGAAGAACAAAUGUGUAAGUAACUAUGCACGUCUUGACGGUACCUAAUCAGAAAGCCACGGCUAACUACGUG
rnacentral:rRNA from 1 species